rnacentral:rRNA from 1 species
UUUUGAAAGGGAAACGAUUGAAGUCAGUCAUGCCGGUGGGAAUCAACUUAGGGGAAACUCUGGGUGCACUUCUUCGCUUGGCAGGUCAACGUCGAUUUUGAAUGUCAUAAAAUAAUUGGGGGAAGGUAGCUCCUUCGGGAGUGUUAUAGCCCUUGAUAGAUGUGAUGUUUGGGGUCGAGGAUUGCAACGGAUACCCUUCGGGGCUAGCCGCCUGAUCUCUAAUUGGUGUUGGGUUACGGACAGCAUGCUGACCGUGAUCUAAUUACUGGU